AAUGCUGCUGAAGACAGAGACCAUCUUUUCAAUGGAUGCCCCUUUGUGCUAGAUAUUUGGAAUUCUGUAUCGCAGAGAAGUUGUAUUAAUUGAAGGGUUAGUUCUUGGAGUGCAGGGUUUCAAUGGGCCCAACAUAAUUUGCAGAAAAGUUCCUUCUUGUCAGUUAUGCUAAGGCUUGCUCUGUGCUCUACUAUCUAUUAUGUUUGGAUGGAAAGUAACAAGAGAAUUCACUCCAUGAUCGAAUGCAUGGACAAGAUUUGACUGGGUGGAUUACUCAGGCUGUUAAAUAAGCUGCAUAAUGCUCUUAUUCUUGAUGAUCAACAUUUAUUUACUUCAACAACAUGCUAUCACUGAUGAUCAAACUGGAGCUUUUAGACAAUUCAGUUAAUCCUGAUGGGAUUCUUCUCCUCGAUUCUUGAAAGGAUAAAGACUUCAUGCAACAUAAAUUUUAGACGCUGCCUGCUGGUUAUCAACUGUGGAAUGGAAUCCCAACUAGAUUCUGAAAAUGGACAGAUUUGACAGGAAUGUUAAAGGAGGUCACAGUGGCUAGCAACUAGCUGGACAGAUACGCUGAACCCCUGAGCCAUUAUGAACGACUUGACAGAAGACCUGAAUUCUUUUCAAUUACCUGACCCAUCUGAUGACAAUACGGUCACCUAAAAUGUCUCGUGCAUUUAUUAAGAUGCUAGUUGGUUUUUAACAAGGAAGAAAAAA